AACUUUUAGCAACGGAUCUCUUGGCUCUCGCCUCGAUGAAGAACGCCGCGAAAUGCGAUAAGUGAUGUGCAUUGCAGAAUUCAGUGAAUCAUCGAAUCUUUGAACGCACCUUGCGCUCCUUGGUAUUCCGAGGAGCCUGCCUGUUUGAGUGUCGUGAAAUUCUCAACCUCUCUAGCUUUUAUUAGCUGGUUAGGCUUGGAUUGUGGGAGUUGCUGGCUUCUCAGAUGUCAGCUCUUCUUAAAUGCAUUAGCAAAACCUUUGCUGACCAUCAUUGGUGUGAUAAUUAUCUAUGCCAUUGAAAAUCAGCUCCUUCUUGGAGGGUUUAGCUUCUAAUAGUCCCCUGGGACAAUUUAUGACUAUUUGACCUCAAAUCAGGUAGGACUACCCGCUGAACUUAAGCAUAUCAAUAAGCGGAGGCU
rnacentral:misc_RNA from 1 species